CUAUGGAAUCCCAAUAGCGUCUUUUAUGAUGUCGUAAUUACUAAAGUCAUUGUAUGUUUGUAUGAACGAUUAAAACCAUUAAGUAGAGACAAAGGAAAACCUCCAUUCAAGGGCUAGCUACAAAUGUUACCAUUUUCCUCCAUUCAGGAAGGGAGCUUUAUUAUCAUAUUAAACAACAUGCAAAAGAAAUUAAAGAUAGAAUAAAAUUGCACACAGCAUCUCGACUGGGAGUGAAGGGGAGCUGAGGAACCAAAGGAUGUUACCAAAAGGAGCUGCAAUCAGCAGCAAACUCCUAGAGAUGUACCACUAAGCACAAAUGAAACCGGAGAGCCAACUUGUCAGCAGCACGAAUAGGGGAGAGUCUGAAUUUCAGCGAGAACGUGAACUUGGUGGACCUUUUCUCCUCACUCUCCAUAAUCAGUUCAUGGAAAGUAAACUACAGCCGUCCUCUUCUACCGUCACCCCAAAUCCACCUACAAGAGCCACCCGUCCACCGGGGUCGGCCACACCGUCACAGAUGCUGGCAAUGACAGCCUGGGGGACACAACCCAUCCUGGACACCGGCUGCCAUCUGGUUCAGCUCCACCUGGCCAUCCCUGGCCUCGCUGUCUCCUUGGAAACCAGCAGCCUCUGGCCUGGACCCUCAGAGGGAAUCAUGCCAACUGACCUCAACCAGGUACCUGGACAUGUCCCCCAGGACACCUUAUCAUUUCCAGGGAUGCUCCUUGAGGGUCCGAUGGGGAGGAGCACCCAAGGUGCCCCGUCUCCAUGUCCCCAGCACGCAGCACCAAGCCGGCCGUGGGUGGUGCCCGGCAAGCACUGAUGGACUGUUAACCUUUGUUCCAGUGCUAAG
rnacentral:lncRNA from 12 species